UACGUAGGUGGCAAGCGUUGUCCGGAAUUAUUGGGCGUAAAGCGCGCGCAGGCGGUCCUUUAAGUCUGAUGUGAAAUCCCACGGCUCAACCGUGGAAGGUCAUUGGAAACUGGGGGACUUGAGUACAGAAGGGGCAACUGGAAUUCUCGGUGUAGCGGUGAAAUGCGUAGAUAUCGGGAGGAACACCAGUGGCGAAGGCGGCCUGCUGGGCGAUAGCUGACGCUGAGGCGCGACAGCGUGGGGAGCAAACAGG
rnacentral:rRNA from 1 species